GUGGAUUAGAUACCCUGGUAGUCCACGCCCUAAACGAUGUCUACUAGUUGUCGGGUUUUAAUUAACUUGGUAACGCAGCUAACGCGUGAAGUAGACCGCCUGGGGAGUACGGUCGCAAGAUUAAAACUCAAAGGAAUUGACGGGGACCCGCACAAGCGGUGGAUGAUGUGGAUUAAUUCGAUGCAACGCGAAAAACCUUACCUACCCUUGACAUGUCAGGAAUCCCGAAGAGAUUUGGGAGUGCUCGAAAGAGAACCUGAACACAGGUGCUGCACGGCUGUCGACAACU
rnacentral:rRNA from 1 species